rnacentral:rRNA from 1 species
GCUGGGUAGCUAUGUGUGGACGGGAUAAGUGCUGAAAGCAUCUAAGCAUGAAGCCCCCCUCAAGAUGAGAUUUCCCAACUUCGGUUAUAAGAUCCCUCAAAGAUGAUGAGGUUAAUAGGUUCGAGGUGGAAGCAUGGUGACAUGUGGAGCUGACGAAUACUAAUCGAUCGAAGACUUAAUCAAAA